AAUUGAAGAGUUUGAUCAUGGCUCAGAUUGAACGCUGGCGGCAGGCCUAACACAUGCAAGUCGAACGGUAACAGGAAGCAGCUUGCUGCUUCGCUGACGAGUGGCGGACGGGUGAGUAAUGUCUGGGAAACUGCCUGAUGGAGGGGGAUAACUACUGGAAACGGUGGCUAAUACCGCAUAACGUCGCAAGACCAAAGAGGGGGACCUUCGGGCCUCUUGCCAUCAGAUGUGCCCAGAUGGGAUUAGCUUGUUGGUGAGGUAACGGCUCACCAAGGCGACGAUCCCUAGCUGGUCUGAGAGGAUGACCAGCCACACUGGAACUGAGACACGGUCCAGACUCCUACGGGAGGCAGCAGUGGGGAAUAUUGCACAAUGGGCGCAAGCCUGAUGCAGCCAUGC
rnacentral:rRNA from 1 species